UGGGGGAUAUUGCACAAUGGGGGAAACCCUGAUGCAGCGACGCCGCGUGAAGGAUGAAGUAUUUCGGUAUGUAAACUUCUAUCAGCAGGGAAGAAAAUGACGGUACCUGACUAAGAAGCCCCGGCUAACUACGUGCC
rnacentral:rRNA from 1 species